AGAGUUUGAUCCUGGCUCAGAUUGAACGCUGGCGGCAUGCCUAACACAUGCAAGUCGAACGGUAACAGGCCGCUGGGAUCCCUUCGGGGUGAACUUGGCGCUGACGAGUGGCGAACGGGUGAGUAAUACGUGGGAAUCUACCCAGUAGUGCGGGACAACCCGGGGAAACCCGGGCUAAUACCGCAUACGCUCUACGGAGGAAAGCGGGGGAUCUUCGGACCUCGCGCUAUUGGAUGAGCCCACGUCGGAUUAGCUUGUUGGUAGGGUAACGGCCUACCAAGGCGACGAUCCGUAGCUGGUCUGAGAGGACGAUCAGCCACACUGGGACUGAGACACGGCCCCCACUCCUACGGGAGGCAGCAGCAGGGAAUCUUCCACAAUGGGCGAAAGCCUGAUGGAGCGACGCCGCGUGAGGGAUGAAGGCUUUAGGGUCGUAAACCUCUUUUCUCAGGGAAGAGCAAGGACGGUACCUGAGGAAUAAGUGACGGCUAACUACGUGCCAGCAGCCGCGGUAAUACGUAGGUCACAAACGUUGUCCGGAAUUAUUGGGCGUAAAGGGUCCGUAGGCGGUUCGGUAAGUCUCCUGUGAAAUCUUCAGGCUCAACUUGAAGAGGUCGGGGGAUACUGCUGAACUAGAGACAGACAGAGGCAAGUGGAAUUCCCGGUGUAGUGGUGAAAUGCGUAGAUAUCGGGAGGAACACCAGUGGCGAAAGCGGUUUGCUGGGUCUGUUCUGACGCUGAGGGACGAAAGCGUGGGUAGCAAACCGGAUUAGAUACCCGGGUAGUCCACGCCGUAAACGAUGAAUGCUAGGUGUGGGCGGUCGUUCAGGCUGCCGUGCCGUAGCUAACGUGAUAAGUGCCCCGCCUGGGGAGUACGGUCGCAAGGCUGAAACUCAAAGGAAUUGACGGGGGCCCGCACAAGCGGUGGAGCAUGUGGUUUAAUUCGACGCAACGCGAAGAACCUUACCUGGGUUUGAACUGCAACGGACAGCCCUAGAAACAGGGUCUCCUUCGGGGACUCUUGUAGAGGUGCUGCAUGGCUGUCGUCAGCUCGUGUCGUGAGAUGUUGGGUUAAGUCCCGCAACGAGCGCAACCCUUGUCGUUAGUUACUAUGUCUAGCGAGACAGCCCCCACUGGGGGAGGAAGGUGGGGACGAGGUCAAGUCGUCAUGGCUCUUACGCCUGGGGCUACACACACGCUACAAUGGUCGGAAACAAUGGGCUGCCACACCGCGAGGUGGAGCGAAUCCUCAAAGCCGAUCUCAGUUGGAAUUGCAGGCUGCAACCCGCCUGCAUGAACGCGGAGUUGCUAGUAACCGCAGGUCAGCACACUGCGGUGAAUACGUUCCCGGGGAUUGUACACACCGCCCGUCAAGUCAUGGAAGUCGGUAACACCUGAAGUCGUUGGGCCAACCCUUUUGGGAGGCAGACGCCGAGAGUGGGACUGGUGACUGGGACUAAGUCGUAACAAGGUAACC
rnacentral:rRNA from 1 species